CCUACGGGUGGCAGCAGUGAGGAAUAUUGGUCAAUGGGCGCUAGCCUGAACCAGCCAAGUAGCGUGAAGGAUGACUGCCCUAUGGGUUGUAAACUUCUUUUAUAUGGGAAUAAAGUGCAGGAUGGAUACCGCUUUGCAUGUACCUUAUGAAUAAGGAUCGGCUAACUCCGUGCCAGCAGCCGCGGUAAUACGGAGGAUCCGAGCGUUAUCCGGAUUUAUUGGGUUUAAAGGGAGCGUAGGUGGAUUGUUAAGUCAGUUGUGAAAGUUUGCGGCUCAACCGUAAAAUUGUAGUUGAAACUGGCAGUCUUGAGUACAGUAGAGGUGGGCGGAAUUCGUGGUGUAGCGGUGAAAUGCUUAGAUAUCACGAAGAACUCCGAUUGCGAAGGCAGUUCACUGGACUGCAACUGACACUGAGGCUCGAAAGUGUGGGUAUCAAACAGGAUUAGAUACCCCUGUAGUC
rnacentral:rRNA from 1 species